CCCUUCAAUAAAAUCCCAUAACCAGCCUCCAUUUCUCCCAGGGUUCUCUUGCCCCUCGCUCGAAACCCCGAAACUGUAGUCAAAGCAGCUUUCCCUCCUGCCUUUUCCCCACGAUUUCCUCGCCGCAAGAAACACUCCAUUCAACAAUUUUUACUAAUAAUGCACGUAGUGAAAUAAUGGGAAGUGGGAGUUUAUUGUGGAAUUUGACAAAGAAAUAUUUAACAGUCGGGGUCAUAGGGCUAACCAUUACAGACCGAUAUGCUAGUAUUGUUCCGGUACGAGGUGGCUCUAUGUCUCCUACGUUUAAUCCUAGGACCAAUACAGUUUUGGGGUCAUUAGAUGACCGUGUUUUGAUCGAGAAGUUUUGCCUUGCAAAGUACAAAUUUUCCCAUGGCGAUGUGGUAGUUUUUCGGUAGGUGUUUUCGUGGAUUUUGAUUGGAUUGUGU